rnacentral:piRNA from 1 species
CCAGAGGGCAUUUAUUUCUGUAUC